rnacentral:rRNA from 1 species
AGUGAACGCUGGCGGUAGGCCUAACACAUGCCAGUCGAACGGCAGCACAGUAAGAGCUUGCUCUUACGGGUGGCGAGUGGCGGACGGGUGAGGAAUACAUCGGAAUCUACUUUUUCGUGGGGGAUAACGUAGGGAAACUUACGCUAAUACCGCAUACGACCUACGGGUGAAAGCAGGGGAUCUUCGGACCUUGCGCGAUUGAAUGAGCCGAUGUCGGAUUAGCUAGUUGGCGGGGUAAAGGCCCACCAAGGCGACGAUCCGUAGCUGGUCUGAGAGGAUGAUCGGCCACACUGGAACUGGGACACGGUCCAGACUCCUACGGGAGGCAGCAGUGGGGAAUAUUGGACAAUGGGCGCAAGCCUGAUCCAGCCAUACCGCGUGGGUGAAGAAGGCCUUCGGGUUGUAAGGCCCUUUUGUUGGGAAAGAAAAGCAGCAGGUUAAUACCCCGCUGUUCUGACGGUACCCAAAGAAUAAGCACCGGCUAACUUCGUG